UUUGAGAGCAGUGGUGGGGGGCAGCGAGGGAAAAAGGAAGGCAUUAAUAUACAACGAGAAGCUGAAAUCAAAAGGCCAGCCCGUGCUGCAUGUUCCCACUUCUCGGCAACUGAGGGACAUGUCACAUCUUGUGCCUUUCCUGGUCUGCCACUGUGACCUUCUGCAAUAGCUGAGAACAUCAGUUCCCCCUCCCUGAAGCGGGGCAGCUCUUAUGCUGAAAGAAGACUUCUCCUUUCUUUGGGCUUCCCUGUUAUGUGCAGGAGUAAUCCACCAAUAAUUGUAUAUAAGGACAAGGAGGUUGUUUGUGACAAAGCAUCAGCAACGUCCUGCGCCGAACAUGAUUCACGUAAGGAGCAGACAGUGGAUACUGAGUUUGAAAGGGGGCUAAUCAACAAUCUUUGGAAUAAAGAAGUAUCUUAACUCAAAAAUGUUGAUGCAUGAACGAAUGUUAUUCUCUGUGCUCUGAGUUACUGUUUAGGGGACACAUCUA